CGUAAGUUGUGGUCUUACUUCAAUUGUAAGUGAAUUGUGCGGUGAUUGCGACCGUUUUAAUGCCGACAUUAAUGAUUCAGAUUCCAGUUUAAACCAGGAGAUGGAAGGUUCUACGAAUAUUAAUUCCAGUACUUAUGAGAUGUCCUGGUCCUGGAGGUGGAAGGAUCUCCUCACAGUGGAGGCAGCUCCUGUCAGUAAGCUUUACCAAAUUAUGGGUACAGCUCCAACAGAUCCUCAUGAAACCAACUUCAGAAAUUGAUAGGAAAAACAGAAAACUGAUUCCAGACACCCCGUAUUUGACCACGAGCAUCGGCGACCAGGACUCAGAAUUGUGAAAGAGCUUCCUGCAGGCAACUACAGCAAUGCCUUCAAUUCCUGGUGCUCGCCUAGUGGAACUUUGACAAGAUCCUUCACCCAAAGCACACGAAACAAAUGUCAAAGGAGAACCAGUGGCAGGUUCAGACCUACCUUAUGUGAUAAGAAAAAAUGCUAAACAGAUUGAUAACUUGGGUUUCACAAUGCAAAGUCAACUUCACAAAAUAGUGCUUCAGCAGCGAUGAUGAAAUUUGCCAUUGUGGUGGCCUGCAGGAGCAUCAACAUCUAUUUGUCUGUUAACAGGAACCUGCUGGACACACUACUACAAGUGAUCUUGCUGCAGCUAAGAAAGCAGCCAAAAUUGUCAAAUAGUGGGCUCUCCCCAGAAUUUGAAGAAAGAGCUUCCUACAGGCAACUACGGCAAUGCCUUCAAUUCCUGGUCCUCGCCUAGUGGAACUUUGACAAGAUCAUUCACCCAAAGCACACAAAACAAAUGUCAAAGGAGAACCAGUGGCAGGUUCAGACCUACCUUAUGUCAUAAGAAAAAAUGCUAAACAGAUUGAUAACUGGGGUUUCACAAUGCAAAGUCAACUUCACAAAAUAGUGCUUCAGCAGCGAUGAUGAAAUUUGCCAUUGUGGUGGCCUGCAGGAGCAUCAACAUCUAUUUGUCUGUUAACAGGAACCUGCUGGACACACUACUACAAGUGAUCUUGCUGCAGCUAAGAAAGCAGCCAAAAUUGUCAAAUAGUGGGCUCUCCCCAGAAUUUGAAGAAAGAGCUUCCUACAGGCAACUACGGCAAUGCCUUCAAUUCCUGGUCCUCGCCUAGUGGAACUUUGACAAGAUCCUUCACCCAAAGCACACAAAACAAAUGUCAAAGGAGAACCAGUGGCAGGUUCAGACCUACCUUAUGUCAUAAGAAAAAAUGCUAAACAGAUUGAUAACUGGGGUUUCACAAUGCAAAGUCAACUUCACAAAAUAGUGCUUCAGCAGUGAUGAUGAAAUUUGCCAUUGUGGUGGCCUGCAGGAGCAUCAACAUCUAUUUGUCUGUUAACAGGAACCUGCUGGACACACUACUACAAGUGAUCUUGCUGCAGCUAAGAAAGCAGCCAAAAUUGUCAAAUAGUGGGCUCUCCCCAGAAUUUGAAGAAAGAGCUUCCUACAGGCAACUACGGCAAUGCCUUCAAUUCCUGGUCCUCGCCUAGUGGAACUUUGACAAGAUCCUUCACCCAAAGCACACAAAACAAAUGUCAAAGGAGAACCAGUGGCAGGUUCAGACCUACCUUAUGUCAUAAGAAAAAAUGCUAAACAGAUUGAUAACUGGGGUUUCACAAUGCAAAGUCAACUUCACAAAAUAGUGCUUCAGCAGUGAUGAUGAAAUUUGCCAUUGUGGUGGCCUGCAGGAGCAUCAACAUCUAUUUGUCUGUUAACAGGAACCUGCUGGACACACUACUACAAGUGAUCUUGCUGCAGCUAAGAAAGCAGCCAAAAUUGUCAAAUAGUGGGCUCUCCCCAGAAUUUGAAGAAAGAGCUUCCUACAGGCAACUACGGCAAUGCCUUCAAUUCCUGGUCCUCGCCUAGUGGAACUUUGACAAGAUCCUUCACCCAAAGCACACAAAACAAAUGUCAAAGGAGAACCAGUGGCAGGUUCAGACCUACCUUAUGUCAUAAGAAAAAAUGCUAAACAGAUUGAUAACUGGGGUUUCACAAUGCAAAGUCAACUUCACAAAAUAGUGCUUCAGCAGUGAUGAUGAAAUUUGCCAUUGUGGUGGCCUGCAGGAGCAUCAACAUCUAUUUGUCUGUUAACAGGAACCUGCUGGACACACUACUACAAGUGAUCUUGCUGCAGCUAAGAAAGCAGCCAAAAUUGUCAAAUAGUGGGCUCUCCCCAGAAUUUGAAGAAAGAGCUUCCUACAGGCAACUACGGCAAUGCCUUCAAUUCCUGGUCCUCGCCUAGUGGAACUUUGACAAGAUCCUUCACCCAAAGCACACGAAACAAAUGUCAAAGGAGAACCAGUGGCAGGUUCAGACCUACCUUAUGUCAUAAGAAAAAAUGCUAAACAGAUUGAUAACUUGGGUUUCACAAUGCAAAGUCAACUUCACAAAAUAGUGCUUCAGCAGCGAUGAUGAAAUUUGCCAUUGUGGUGGCCUGCAGGAGCAUCAACAUCUAUUUGUCUGUUAACAGGAACCUGCUGGACACACUACUACAAGUGAUCUUGCUGCAGCUAAGAAAGCAGCCAAAAUUGUCAAAUAGUGGGCUCUCCACAGAAUUUGAAGAGAAUUAUCUUGCUGUUUUUUUUUUUUUUUUUUAAAUCUUCCUGUCUGUAUUUUAUCAAUACUUGUGGUACAUAUUUUUCCCUGUAUUUUUACUGUUAUUAAUUUCUAUCUGUAUGUUACUGAAUUUCCUCUGUAACUGAUUUUUUAUAUGUAUUCAAUCUCAAUAUGUAUGUUAUUAAUGCUCUGUCGGUUUUGUAAUAAUUCAAUGUCCUGGACAUGUAAAAUAUAGUAAAUAAAUUUCGAGAUUUAAAAGAGA